AACUUUUAAAGGAUAAUAGCUAAUCCAUUGGU
rnacentral:tRNA from 1 species